CAUUACUUAAUUAGGGCUGGCAAUGAAGCAGAAGGAGGAACGAGGGAAGUUCCCCUUGGAGAAAAGCCUGAAUAAGUCAGGGUGAGGAACCCCUAGGAAACAGGGUAGGUUUCCAGCAGGGUCACGCCUUGAGUCAGGGCCUGCAACAGGAGAAAGAGACCCACAGGGAGCAGGCUACCUGUUGUAGGGGCCAAAAGGAGCAGUGAGAUCCUCAGAGGUAAACUGCUAGGAUCCCUGGUGAAGGGAAGCAAUAGAGGAAUCCUGCUGGGGAAGAAGCAAGACAGGAGCAUCUCAGCGGGGGCUAAGAAGCAGAAGACUUCUGAGUGGACUAUUAGUUCAACUGUUUGAUUUAGAUUUGAAGUUGGACCUUUUGUGUGCUGGAAGGCUGGAGGUCUGAGCCACAGAAAACCCAGAGAGGGAUCUGGGAGAAGAUACCAGCUGGGCCUGGCCAUUGGGAUGAUGGAAGUGGCUACUGGAGGCCAGGUCUGAGAGAUGAAGUCCCCUGAAGUGCUGCAUCCAGGCACGAGGAGGUGCCCUAGAGGCUGAUGCAUCUGAUACGCUCCUGUGAGUCUCCAAGCAUCUGAACAAGUGCUUCCCGUUUAGUAUGUGACAGAGAGAGUGCCGCAGGUGAUGAUCAACAUCAAUUCAGAGUCAUAGAACUGAAGGUCAGAAGGGACCACCAGAGUGUCUAAUGGGACCUCCUGUUUAUUACAGGCCACGACACCCACACACUCAACCAAACAACUGACAUUAGACAAGUGGUGGACAACCUGUGCCACUUCCCGCAGCUCCCAUUGGCCAGGAACGACAAACCACUGCCACUGGGAGCAGUUGGCGGCCGUGCAAAUGUAAACAAACAGUCUGGUGGCCCACCAGUGGAUUACCCUGAUGGGCUGUGCGCGGCCCACCACUGCAUUAGACUAAUGUAUCACAGCUCUCAGGAGACUAAAUCAUGUGCCAUGGACAAAGAAUAAGAAGGAGUGACGUCCUUACUCCUCUUUUCAUUGUUUUUGACAAUACCCACAAUCCUUCCUGUCACUGAGGAUGGCCACCUUUGCGUUGCCUCUGACUCUUUCCUUUCCUCUCUGCGCACCCAGGCUGAAGCCAGAUGUUCCCAGAAAUAUGGAAAAAUCUUACCCUUUCUUUCCUGAUGGCCAGAUCACGUGUCUGUGCCCUGAUCGUCUCCCUGCUUGAUUUCUGCAACCUCUUCCUCUCUGGCUUUCUUAACACCUGUAUCGGUCCCCUUCCUUGUUCAAAAUGCUGCUGCUAAAAUUAUCCUCUUUACUUAUCUGUGAGGAUAUGUCACCAUUGCCCUUGUAAUUCUGCUGCUGGCUUCCCCUUGACCACUGUGUCGAGUUUAAACCUCAUAUCUGUGUCCUGUGCAGCUCCAUCCUUGCCAGCAUCUAAGAUCUUAUCCCUUACAUUCCUUCUCAUCUGCCUUGCUCUACAAGCAAUGCCAGCUUUGAUGCGCUGUUUAUUUCCAUCUUUAGUUCUAUUCCUGUUUUGUGCCUCUUUCUGUGCUGCUUCCUGUGCAUGGAACAGCCUAUCAAUCCCUCUGUGCUAAGUUCC